CCAUACGGGUUGAAGCAUGACCGUAAGGACAUGUGGACAGUAUGGGAGUGAGAAUGUUGGCAUGAGUAGCGAGAUGUGGGUGAGAAUCCCACAGGCCGUAAACCCAAGGUUUCCAGGGGAAGGUUCGGCCGCCCUGGGUUAGUCGGGACCUAAGCUGAGGCCGAAAGGCGUAGGUGAUGGACAACAGGUUGAUAUUCCUGUACUACCGAUAACCGUUUGAGAGAUGGGAUGACACAGUAGGAUAAGCUAAGCACA
rnacentral:rRNA from 1 species